CGGUUUUCUAAGUCUGAUGUGAAAGCUUUCGGCUUAACCGGAGAAGUGCAUCGGAAACUGGAUAACUUGAGUGCAGAAGAGGGUAGUGGAACUCCAUGUGUAGCGGUGGAAUGCGUAGAUAUAUGGAAGAACACCAGUGGCGAAGGCGGCUACCUGGUCUGCAACUGACGCUGAGACUCGAAAGCAUGGGUAGCGAACAGGAUUAGAUACCCUGGUAGUCCAUGCCGUAAACGAUGAGUGCUAGGUGUUGGAGGGUUUCCGCCCUUCAGUGCCGGAGCUAACGCAUUAAGCACUCCGCCUGGGGAGUACGACCGCAAGGUUGAAACUCAAAGGAAUUGACGGGGGCCCGCACAAGCGGUGGAGCAUGUGGUUUAAUUCGAAGCUACGCGAAGAACCUUACCAGGUCUUGACAUCUUGCGCCAACCCUAGAGAUAGGGCGUUUCCUUCGGGAACGCAAUGACAGGUGGUGCAUGGUCGUCGUCAGCUCGUGUCGUGAGAUGUUGGGUUAAGUCCCGCAACGAGCGCAACCCUUGUUACUAGUUGCCAGCAUUAAGUUGGGCACUCUAGUGAGACUGCCGGUGACAAACCGGAGGAAGGUGGGGACGACGUCAGAUCAUCAUGCCCCUUAUGACCUGGGCUACACACGUGCUACAAUGGACGGUACAACGAGUCGCGAACUCGCGAGGGCAAGCAAAUCUCUUAAAACCGUUCUCAGUUCGGACUGCAGGCUGCAACUCGCCUGCACGAAGUCGGAAUCGCUAGUAAUCGCGGAUCAGCAUGCCGCGGUGAAUACGUUCCCGGGCCUUGUACACACCGCCCGUCACACCAUGAGAGUUUGUAACACCCAAAGUCGGUGGGGUAACCUUUUAGGAGCCAGCCGCUAA
rnacentral:rRNA from 1 species